rnacentral:rRNA from 1 species
GAUGAACGCUGGCGGCGUGCCUAAUACAUGCAAGUCGAGCGAACGGACGAGAAGCUUGCUUUUCUGAUGUUAGCGGCGGGCGGGUGAGUAACACGUGGAUAACCUACCUAUAAGACUGGGAUAACUUCGGGAAACCGGAGCUAAUACCGGAUAAUAUUUUGAACCGCAUGGUUCAAAAGUGAAAGACGGUCUUGCUGUCACUUAUAGAUGGAUCCGCGCUGCAUUAGCUAGUUGGUAAGGUAACGGCUUACCAAGGCAACGAUGCAUAGCCGACCUGAGAGGGGUAUCGGCCACACUGGAACUGAGACCCGGUCCAGACCCCAAGGGGAGGCAGCAGUAGGGAAUCUUCCGCAAUGGGCGAAAGCCUAACGGAGCAACGCCGCGGGAGUGAUGAAGGUCUUCGGUUUGUAAAACUUUUUUAUUAGGGAAGAACAAAUGUGUAAGUAACUGUGCCCAUCUUGACGGUACCUAAUCAAAAAGCCACGGCUAACUACGG